rnacentral:lncRNA from 1 species
GUUUGUUUGGUUUGUGUUUUGUUUGUUUGUUUGUUUGUGUCUUCCUGAGUUACAUUUUCUGUCUACAGUUGGCUGGCUAUGCAGUGAAGCUCCAUAUGUCCCACAUUCAUUCUUCAGAAUAACUUGGGCAAGUUCUCAUGGUGAAAGUAGAGGUGCAAAGGUAAACAAGUCCAAUUAUCUAAGUAUGUGCGAAGUCUCUAUUUGUGUCUUGUUUACAAACAGCACGUGGCCAAAGCUAUGAAUCACAACAUUAAGGGCUGAGUAAAAUUUCCUGCCCAGACUUGGACAGUACUUGAAACUUGUAUACGAAAAGAACAGAUAUAAAGAGGGGAGAAAGAAUUUGGGCUGAAAUUCAAUCUAUCACACUUUCCCAACCUAAUAGCUCAUAUUUCUUUUUGUUUGAUGAGUUAGUUCAUCAGUACAAUGCUGAUAGGAAGACUGAUAGUUAACAUUUAUGUCGUGUUUCUAUAUGUAAUAGGAAGGAUCUGGAGUACAUUUUUGAUGAAUAUAAAAUUUUAAGUUUAUGGUUUUCUUCUUUCAGCUCUUCAAGCAUUUUUUCCUACUGUCUAAUGAACAGUCUGUAUUAAUUUUAGUUUUGUUCCUGUCUUUAUAAGUUUACCUGUUCUCUCUUUUUCAAAAUAAACUGUUAAUUUUAGAGCCAUUUUAGAUUUACAGAAAAAUUGUGAAGAGAGUACAGAGUUGCCAUUACCCCCAUAAAUGCAGGUUUUUCCUGUUUUAACAUCUUACAUUAGUGUGGUAAAUUUGUUACAAUUAAUUAGGCAAUAUUUAUACAUUAGUAUUAAAUACAUCCAUAUUCUAUUCAGAUUUUGUUCAUAAUGUUCUUUUUUGUUCCAGGAUUUCAUCUGAAUACCAAAUUACUUUUGGUCAUCAUGUCUUCUUAAGCUCCUCUUGGCUGUGACACUCUCAGACAAGAAUUUUGAUAAUCAUGUUUUUAUAACCUUGACAGUUUUCUAGAGUACAGUCAGGUAUUUCCCACAAUGAGAGUUGUAUGAUGCUUUCCUAUAAUUAGACUGGGAUGAUGGGGAUACAUGGAGGGAAGGCACAGAAGUAAGGCAUGGAGGUAAAUCAUCGUGGAAAAGCUAUUUUAUCACAGUAUGCCAAGUGUACAUAACAUUGUAGAUGUAAACCAUGAUUACCUGGAUGAGGUAGCAAUUGCAGAUUUUCUUACUGUAAAGUUAUUCUUUUUCCUCCCUUGUUAUAUAGCACCAUUUGGAAGCAAGUCACUACGCAUAAUUCACAAUUGAGUAAUAAAGAUUUAUGCUUCACCUCUUUGAAGGUAGAGUAUCUACAUAUAUUAUUUGACAUUCAUCUCUAUUUGUUCAGUCAUUUAUUCAUAUCAAUAUGGAUUCAUGGAUAAUUA